rnacentral:lncRNA from 1 species
UUAGACCCGAGUUUUAUAAGAAAUUUAUUUUUUCACAGAUACAGAACAUAAAUCCAAGAAAAAUUAUUAUUAUUUUUCACAAUUAUGACUAAAUCAUGUUAUUUCUAGUUAUUUACAAGUACUACAAUGUUCUAUGCAUUUCUUCAUCCUAGACAUUAAUAAAACACAUCCCUUUGGUCUUAGAUACUUCUCUUUGGUCUGUGUUUUCUCCUUUCUGAAUUUUAAUCUUCUGUGAUGUGAGGAAAUUUACGUGAACCUUUCACAUAUCUAUUUUUUUCCUUGUGCACAGUUGAUAAUUUCCUCCCUUAGAUUCCCUGAGAAAAGAAACACAAAAUAUUCUUAGUGGAUUAUCUCAGGAAAGGCAACCAGAGGGAAGAGGAAUAUUGGACCACUGAAAAUCUCAACCAACGCUAAUAUUAGGAGCACACGUACCAUGAGGAAGAGAAGGGAUGGGGAAACCAAGAUGGCAGAGUUAGAGCAACAAAGUUAGUAACAUGAGAGUUUCCCAGCAAUUUGAGUAAGAGAGAAUUGGAGAGGAUGUGAUAUUCUGAAUUGAUUUCCCAAGCACUAAAAUAAGAUUUGAGUAUACUAAACUGAAACCUCUGUCAAAUCUCUAAAUGGAACAGAGCAGCAUGUACUAUGCACAGAUUGUUAAAAGAAAGUUUAUGUAAUACUAAAUGCGGUGGCCAUUACAUAAAAGGACAUACCUCUACCUAGCAAUGACCAUACUGCAUGAAGAGGGACUAAGAUGAAGGAAAGAAACAAAAAGGCAAGUCAAAGAAAGACAGGAGUGUAAGGUCCUAAGGAAGGGGCAAAUAAUCAAAGGUCUCAUCUGAUCAGGAGCAAUGCCAAUCCAAUCCAGUUCUAGGUCCCAAGUAAAGAAACAUAGUCUGAGAAAAGAGGCCAGGGAUACAGCUUGGGAUGUUCAGAGAGUGGAAAUGACAGAGGUGGAUUAUUUUAAAACUUUCAUCUCAAGACAAAAAGGGAAAAACAUAGUGCAGAUUCUCUAGUAUGAACUCCAGGAAAAGAGGGAAAUGCAAGGAGGGAAAAAUGCAUCCAGGGAGUGGGUUAAAAAGCAGAACUAAUCACAGGGCAACAACCCACAAAAAGACAGAGAGCUGCCAGGUAUUUAAUAGAUCCAAGCAGAAAGUAGCCAACUACCUGACCGCUUCCAAGCUUCCACACCACCAAACCAUCUACCUAUUUGCUCAAAAGGCAAAUCCUCUAAGAAGUCAUCUGCAGCCCAUAGCAUUCGUCUCAGAGCAGAAAGAAUUAGAACAUCCUUUACAGGGUCCAGCUCCCACUCAGAGGAAUAAUUGCUAACCACCGAGAUGUCAGAAAGAGCAAAUCCAAGUUUUCUUUGGACUUCCUCUAGCUGCAAUACAGAAAUUAAAAAGACAUUGCAAAACAGUGAAAAAUAUUAUUUUAUGUUAGUAUAAAUUAUGAAAGCAAUAUCAAGAUGUAGGAACUUGCAAUAAUUUCCCAUUGGAAAAAAAUGGAGAUCUGGUCUCACAAAGUACUCUUGAAGAACUUCACAUAUCAAGUUCUAAUGUCACUGAUAAUUGUAAUUUGGAAUACAUGCAGUGGAUUCUAAAUGAUUUAGAAACAAAAUUUUUAUGACACCUAUCCUACAGUCCAUAUAUUUCCUGUUUCUUUUAAAAAACAUUCUCUGGAUAAGUAGAUUUUAUUAGACCAGUUUAACGUUUAAUUCUUGUUUAGACUAUUUUACCUCUAGAAUCAAACUGCCUAGGUUCGAAAUAUUUAUCUGUCACUGCUCAGCACUGUCAAUAAACGUUGGCAGAUGUUUACUCUGUUUUCUUUGUUUCCUCACUUGUAAAAUGCAGUAAUGAUAGUACCCAUUUCAUAGGCUUGUUAUAAGGACUGAUUAAGAAAAUCUAUCACAUACUUAGUGCUCAACAAAUACUUGCUAUCAUUGCAUUCUCCCAACUGGUGUUCCCACCUCCAGGUUCCUUUUGAUUCCAAUCUAUUCUGUACACAGUGCCAGAUUAAUUUUUCUGAAGAUCAUAACUUUAAUUAACUUUGAUCAUAUCAUUACUCUUUCAAAAAAUUGCUGUGAUUCCUCAUAAUGCUCCUAAUUAAAUAAAAUUACUUCAUGCAAAUGUUCCUUGCCCAUUUUAUCUCUGCCUACAAAGAUCCAGCCCUUCACUAACCUGAACUCCACAUUUCCCAAACAUGCUGACUUUUCCUCCAUUAAUAUAUUGUCUUAUGCUGAAUUUGUUGGCCCUUUUUGUCUCUUCAUUUUGUGAAAUAUUUCUUCUCCUUGAAAGCCGUUUCCCUGUGCCGUUCCAUUGAUGAAAUCUCCCCGAACCCCUUUAACACUAUACUUUCCUUCUCUAAACUUUUAAAGCACUUUAUUUUUCAUUGUUUCAUUAUAUUUAUCACACUCAAUCGUACAUAAUCUCUUGUCAACUUUUUCUUAUCCCACACUCCCAUCCCCUCACCACUAUUUAUAAAAUUGUAAAAUUUUUAGUGCGGGGGAAUUUUUUUCAUGAUCUGUGUAGCUGAUAAGAGAGUAACACACUGGCUCAACCUUAAAGAUAAUAUCAAUAAACAUUUAUUGAAUUGAAUCUAGUUGAAUUAAAUUGUAAUAAAUGAACUUACCCAUGUCAGUGUAAAGAUAGACAGUUAGCCUUCUGUAUCCAUGGGUUCUGCAUCUGUGAGUUCAACUAAGGCUCAAAAAAAAUUGAAAAAAAAUGGGCCGGGCGCGGUGGCUCACACCUGUAAUCCCAGCACUUUGGGAGGCCGAGGCGAGCGGAUCACGAGGUCAGGAGAUCGAGACCAUCCUGGCUAACACAGUGAAACCCUGUCUCUACUAAAACUACAAAACAAUUAGCCGGGCAUG